CAAGAGGAUCCAGUAGGAAAGUCUACAGCAAUCGGUUCAGUUUAUGCCCUACUGGUAUUUGGGUUAAAAGCAUUAUUUCUUUAUAAUAAAGAGUAAAAAUUAUUUCUAAUUACUAUAAUACCAACAACAAAGAUAUAUUCCCAUUACUCUUUCCAGCAAAUAUAUUAUCAAUAAUUGAUUUUUUAAAAAUGGGAAGAUUGUUUCCAGCACAAUAAAGAACUCUAGAUACCCAGAAAUCUCUUGUUAUAAAGCCCCUUUAAAAACGAUGAAUUAUAGGAAACACUUUUUGAAUACACAAUAAUGAGCCCACAAAGAAGCAGGGCCAAAAUUCUUGAGAACUAAAAAUGAAGAGGAAGCAACACUGAGCUGUUGAAGUUGAAGCUGUGGCUGACUUGGGGUGUUUGCUUCAUAGUUACAAAAAGGUUUGGAUCUGAAAGUUUACAUGUGGGAUAGCAUAGAAGGCCUUGGGCCCAUUCAAGAUGGGAGGUGGAGUCAAGGCCCAUUACAUAAAACAACCAGAGGGCACAUCCUCUUUGAAAGGAUGGGUUAGAAAAAUACGCCCACUACCAGGGAAGGAACAGGAAAUCUGUCUGUCUUGCACUUUAGGGUAGGAAAAAGUCUUCCUUUGUGAUUCAGCACUACAGACCUACUCUCAUUGGCAUGAUCAGAGAAACCUUAAGCUGAGGAUUAGCUGAAAGUGGUCUAAAGCUUGACACAGUCAAAUAUAAAUUUUCUCUGGAAGGGCACAUGCAAGACUCACAGAUGGAGUCCCCUUCAUUAAAUGGAAGCUCACCAUCUAAAAUUACAAGACCUAUAACAAACCACCAUGAAUGAAAGCAGGAGAAACUAACAGACUCCACUGACCUGGAGUAUAAAAUCAUUGUGUUUAAGAUGUAUAAUAGAUAAAAAGGGAAUCAAAGAGAAGAGAAGAGACUUUCACUUUUGGCCAAGAUGGAAUAGCCCACCCUCUUAGAAUUAAAAUCUCUGGACAUAAUACAGUGAACCAAUACCGGGAAACACUGAAGGGUGGAAAGAAGGAGGAGGACAGGUUAGGCACCUCGGGACUCAAGGGAUGAUGUGACGGUGGCUUCUCUGGGUUUUCUUUUUGCUUCUCAUAUAUCCCCAGUGGGGUACUGGAGACGCAUAGGCCCCAAAACUGCUAACAUGCACAGGCAAAAGCCCAUUCUCUUCAUCCGAAGGACUAUGAAAACCUUUUUGAUAAUACCUGCCCUACUCCAGCCAAACACUAAAGAAAAAAACCGCUUCCCACCUAAGAGUACCUGUGGGGCUGAGCUGGAAGCUGAGCCGUGGUGGGAGGAGCAUGAUCCACCAGGCUGAUGCUAUAUUAAAACCCUCAAGAAAAAAGAAAAGGAAAAUCAAAUAAAUUAUGGCCUAUCCAUACAGUGGAAUUGUAUAUAAUUUUCAAGUAGAUUUUCAAGUAGAUUUUCAAACUUGUCCACAAUAUAUGAAGUGAAAGAAAAAAAACAAAAACAGGCCAUAUAAGAAAAUAAUAUGCAUCCAUAGGAUGAUCACAUUUUUUAUCGUGUGUGUGUGUGUGUCUGUGUGUGUGUGUGUCUAAGCUGCACACACACAAGACUCUGGGAGGAUUUAUAUUUGCCAGGGUAGUUACAGGGGACUGUUAAUUUUCAAGCAAUACCAAAGCAUAUACUAUAUUUUUAAUGAACAUGUAUUACUUUUCUACAUAACCGAAACAGUAAAACUAUUCCUUCUUUGGGGGGAAAAAAAAUUACCAUGGAAAGGUACCCAGGCAACAAAUGAUAAUUAACCCAUUUUCGCCAGAAGGUUUAUACAAAGAGGCUAAUACCUGUGUCUGAGUGGUGAAAUUAUGAGUACUUUUUUCUAGCUCUCAAAUUUCCCAUAAAACAGUCAUAUUUCAUAAUUUGUAAAAUUUGGUUUUAAAAUUACAGUUCACAAGUCAACCUGCACCAUUAAGAAGCAAGAAUAAUGCCACAGUAGGGCCAGGUUGAAAGAGAUUUAUGUGUGACAGAAACAAGCAAAUGGAGUAAGAUGUGAACGGGACAAGGGCAAGGUUACUACUAACAACCUCCUGCUCAGCCAGUCCUGUGCCUUCCCCACUGCACAUACCCAGUCCUGCACCACACCCUUCUUUCCUGGUUGUGUUAGAAUCACCCAUCAACCUCAUGUGGAGGAUCAUGGACUCAAUAUUGCUGCAUGGGAUAGUGACAUUAUGUAUGGACAGAAGCAAUUUCUAGCAAAACAGUUUGACCACUCUAUUUUUUGUGUAAGCACAAAAAUACAGUGAACAAUAAAAAGCCUGCAAGCAUGACUGAAUGCAAUUGCAGUGAAAAAGAGGCAAUCAUCAGGUCAGAGUGAGUUCAUGCAAACCACUGUUUCCCAAAGCAUUCUCAAAUGGAACGCUGGUCUUGUGAAAUGCUCCUUGAGGAAAGGAUUCUGGGGUCAAAUAAGUAUGGAAAGUACCUCUUUCUCUUAGCUUCACAUAAUAACAUCUUGAAGGCACUGAGGAGUCCUGUCAUGGGGGGAAACCAGUUGAACUGUCUUUAAUUCAGUAUUUCUUGAACUUAUUAGGUCACUAGAUUCUAUCUUUUGGAUAAUCCUUACUGACCUAUGGCAGACCAUUCUCAGAUAAAUGUUGAUCUAGAGGGUGAUGAUAGCCAAGGCAUGAGGCUUUUCCCCGGAGCCCAGGAAAUGCACAGAGAGAUUGUGGAAAGAACUGGGGUUAUGUGUGCUGAGCUCUUCAAUCCCAUGCACACAGUUUUAUAGAAAUACCACACCAGAGAGGAGACAGCUCGUACAGGAAGAAGUCAGUUUACAUAGUCGUCUCUGUGAUGCUAUAGAUGAGGGAAGGUGCUCCUUGGUAGAGAGGCUGCACACCAUCUCACUGCUGAGAAGGGAAAACUGACCAACCCUUUGAGACAGAAUGGACUCCCCCCUCACGGAAGAUGGUUAGAGGCUGCUAAGACAAACACGAGAUCUUCUGAGCGAGCCAGCCCAUCCAUUUGCACCAGUAACUCUGUCUUCAUUCGAAGGCUUCCUUCAUGUUCUCCCCUACAGAGAGACACAGAGGUGAG